rnacentral:rRNA from 1 species
UGAAAGCAUCUAAGCUUGAAACCCGACCUAAAACGAGACUCCGUUGAGAGCACGGAUAGAAGAUCCGUUUGAUAGACUUGGGAUGUAAG